rnacentral:snRNA from 1 species
GUGCUCGCUUCGGCAGCAUGUAUACUAAAAU